rnacentral:rRNA from 1 species
CAGUCGCCGCGGUAAUACGGAGGGUGCGAGCGUUAAUCGGAAUUACUGGGCGUAAAGCGUACGCAGGCGGUUUGUUAAGUCAGAUGUGAAAUCCCCGAGCUUAACUCGGGAACUGCAUUUGAAACUGGCAGGCUAGAGUCUCGUAGAGGGGGGUAGAAUUCCAGGUUUAGCGGUGAAAUGCGUAGAGAUCUGGAGGAAUACCGGUGGCGAAGGCGGCCCCCUGGACGAAGACUGACGCUCAUGCACGAAAGCGUGGGGAGCAAACAGGAUUAGAUACCCCGGUAGUCCCUGUCUCUUAUAC